GAGGAUGCGAGCGUUAUCCGGAUUUAUUGGGUUUAAAGGGAGCGUAGACGGGAUGUUAAGUCAGCUGUGAAAGUUUGGGGCCCAACCUUAAAAUUGCAGUUGAAACUGGCAUUCUUGAGUGCGGCAGAGGCAGGCGGAAUUCGUGGUGUAGCGGUGAAAUGCUUAGAUAUCACGAAGAACUCCUAUUGCGAAGGCAGCUUGCUGGAGCGUAACUGACGUUGAUGCUCGAAAGUGUGGGUAUCAAA
rnacentral:rRNA from 1 species